rnacentral:rRNA from 1 species
AUUGAACGCUGGCGGCAGGCUUAACACAUGCAAGUCGAGCGGAGAUGAGGUGCUUGCACCUUAUCUUAGCGGCGGACGGGUGAGUAAUGCUUAGGAAUCUGCCUAUUAGUGGGGGACAACAUUCCGAAAGGAAUGCUAAUACCGCAUACGUCCUACGGGAGAAAGCAGGGGAUCUUCGGACGUUGCGCUAAUAGAUGAGCAUAAGUCGGAUUAGCUAGUUGGUGGGGUAAAGGCCUACCAAGGCGACGAUCUGUAGCUGGUCUGAGAGGAGGAUCCGCCACACUGGGACUGGGACACGGCCCAGACUCCUACGGGAGGCAGCAGUGGGGAAUAUUGGACAAUGGGGGAAACCCUGAUCCAGCCAUGCCGCGUGUGUGAAGAAGGCCUUAUGGUUGUAAAGCACUUUAAGCGAGGAGGAGGCUACUGAGACUAAUACUCUUGGAUAGUGGACGUUACUCGCAGAAUAAGCACCGGCUAACUCUGUGCCAGCCGCCGCCGCAACAC